rnacentral:rRNA from 1 species
GAUGAACGCUGGCGGCGUGCCUAAUACAUGCAAGUCGAGCGAACAGACGAGGAGCUUGCUCCUCUGACGUUAGCGGCGGACGGGUGAGUAACACGUGGAUAACCUACCUAUAAGACUGGGAUAACUUCGGGAAACCGGAGCUAAUACCGGAUAAUAUAUUGAACCGCAUGGUUCAAUAGUGAAAGACGGUUUUGCUGUCACUUAUAGAUGGAUCCGCGCCGCAUUAGCUAGUUGGUAAGGUAACGGCUUACCAAGGCAACGAUGCGUAGCCGACCUGAGAGGUGGACCGCCACCACUGAAACGACACCCGGUCCAAGCCGCCUAGGGGGGGCGGAAGAAGGAAUUCUUCGGCAAUGGGCAAAGGCCGGGGGGAACAAGGCGGGGGGGUGAAUAAUGGUCUCGGGAGCGAAAAACUUUUUUAUUGGGAAAAAAAAAAUGUUUAAGAACCUAUCCCCUUUUGGACGGUCCCAAACAAAAAAGCCACGCCUAACUCCGGC